CGCGGAGUGGAGCAGUUGGUAGCUCGUCGGGCGCAUAACCCGGAGGCCGUAGGGUCGAGUCCUGCCUCCGCAA
rnacentral:tRNA from 1 species